rnacentral:rRNA from 1 species
GAUGAACGCUGGCGGCGUGCCUAAUACAUGCAAGUCGUACGGGUGUAGCAAUACAUCAGUGGCGAACGGGUGAGUAACACGUAGGUAACCUGCCUUGAAGUUUGGGACACCCAAGGGAAACUUUGGCUAAUACCGGAUACGUCGGUUGGAGGCAUCUCCGACCGAUAAAAGAAGCGUAUGCUUCGCUUUGAGAUGGACCUGCGGCGCAUUAGCUAGUUGGUGAGGUAACGGCUCACCAAGGCGACGAUGC